rnacentral:misc_RNA from 1 species
UGGUUCUGGCAUCGAUGAAGAACGCAGCGAAAUGCGAUAAGUAAUGUGAAUUGCAGAAUUCCGUGAAUCAUCGAAUCUUUGAACGCACAUUGCGCCCUUUGGUAUUCCGAGGGGCAUGCCUGUUCGAGCGUCAUUUAAAAACUCAAGCUUUGCUUGGUAUUGGGAGGUCGCCCCGUUGGGGUGUCCCCGAAAAACAGCGGCGACGUAGCCGGACUCCCUGGCGUAGUGACAUUCUGUCGCCCUGGAGUUGUCGGUCUUGCGUUUGCCGGACAACACACACUCUUUGAAAUCGACCUCGGAUCAGGCAGGAUUACCCGCUGA